rfam:Schistosoma rodhaini strain Burundi genome assembly, scaffold: SROB_scaffold0002088
ACACAGCUGACGAGUUCCAAAUAGGACUAAAUGUACGUCUUGGAU